rnacentral:rRNA from 1 species
AACGAUGUCAAUAGGAGCUUGUGCUAAAGUAUGGUUCCGCAGCUACGCAAUAAAUUGACCGCCUGGGGAGUACGCCGCAAGUUAAAACUCAAAUGAAUUGACGGGGGCCCGCACAAGCGGUGGAGCAUGUGUUUUAAUUCGACGCAACGCGAAGAACCUUACCUGACCUUGACAUCACAGGAACCUCACUGAAGGGUGAGGGUGCCUUCGGGAACCUGUAGACAGGUGCUGCAUGGCUGUCGUCAGCUCGUGUCGUGAGAUGUUGGGUUAAGUCCCGCAACGAGCGCAACCCUUGUCCUUUGUUGCCAGCGGGUAAAGCCGGGAACUCAAAGGAGACUGCCAGUGACAAACUGGAGGAAGGCAGGGAUGACGUCAAGUCAUCAUGGCCCUUACGGUCAGGGCUACACACGUGCUACAAUGGGGCGUACAGAGGGCAGCCACCAUGUGAAUGGGAGCGAAUCCCGAAAGCCGGUCUCAGUUCGGAUCGGAGUCUGCAACCCGACUCCGUGAAGUUGGAUUCGCUAGUAAUCGCGCAUCAGCCAUGGCGCGGUGAAUACGUUCCCGGGCCUUGUACACACCGCCCGUCAAGCCAUGAAAGUCCGGGGUACCUGAAGUCCGUGACCGCGAGGAGCGGCCUAGGGUAAAUGCGGGUGAUUGGGGAU